rnacentral:rRNA from 1 species
GACGAACGCUGGCGGCGUGCUUAACACAUGCAAGUCGAACGGUAAGGCCCUUCGGGGUACACGAGUGGCGAACGGGUGAGUAACACGUGGGUGAUCUGCCCUGCACUUCGGGAUAAGCCUGGGAAACUGGGUCUAAUACCGGAUAGGACCACUGCCUGCAUGGGUGGUGGGGGAAAGCUUUUGCGGUGUGGGAUGGGCCCGCGGCCUAUCAGCUUGUGGGUGGGGUGAUGGCCUACCAAGGCGACGACGGGUAGCCGGCCUGAGAGGGUGACCGGCCACACUGGGACUGAGAUACGGCCCAGACCCCUACGGGAGGCAGCAGUGGGGAAUAUUGCACAAUGGGCGCAAGCCUGAUGCAGCGACGCCGCGUGAGGGAUGACGGCCUUCGGGUUGUAAACCUCUUUCAGCACCGACGAAGCGCAAGUGACGGUAGGUGCAGAAGAAGGACCGGCCAACUACGUGCCAGCAGCCGCGGUAA